CAGCCGCGGUAAUUCCAGCUCCAAUAGCGUAUAUUAAAGUUGUUGCAGUUAAAAAGCUCGUAGUUGAAUUUCGGGAUCAAUAUUUCGGUCAUGCCGUUGGUAUGCACUGUUAUCAUUGAUUUCUCACCUUCUAAAGAACCGUAAUGCCAUUAAUUUGGUGUUACGGGGAAUUAGGACUGUUACCUUGAAAAAAUUAGAGUGUUUAAAGCAGGCUCACGCUUGAAUACAUUAGCAUGGAAUAAUGAAAUAGGACAUCCGAUUCAAUUUUGUUGGUUUCUAGGAUCGAUGUAAUGAUUAAUAGGGAUAGUUGGGGGCAUUAGUAUUCAAUUGUCAGAGGUGAAAUUCUUGGAUUUAUUGAAGACUAACUACUGCGAAAGCAUUUGCCAAGGAUGUUUUCAUUAAUCAAGAACGAAAGUUAGGGAUCGAAGACGAUCAGAUACCGUCGUAGUCUUAACCAUAAACUAUGCCGACUAGGGAUCGGAUGAUGUUAAUUUAUAAUGACUCAUUCGGCACCUUACGGGAAAC
rnacentral:rRNA from 1 species